CCUACGGGGGGCAGCAGUGAGGAAUAUUGGUCAAUGGGCGCGAGCCUGAACCAGCCAAGUAGCGUGAAGGAUGACUGCCCUACGGGUUGUAAACUUCUUUUAUAAAGGAAUAAAGUGAGGCAUGUGUGCCUUUUUGUAUGUACUUUAUGAAUAAGGAUCGGCUAACCCGUGCCAGCAGCCGCGGUAAAUAGGGGGAUCCGAGCGUUAUUCGGAUUUAUUGGGGUUAAAGGGAGCGUAGAUGGGUUGUUAAGUCAGUUGUGAAAAUUUGCGGCUCAAACGUAAAAUUGCAAUUGAUACUGGCAGCCUUGAGUACAGUUGAGGUAGGCGGAAUUCGUGGUGUAGCGGUGAAAUGCUUAGAGAUCAUACAGAACACCGAUUGCGAAGGCAGCUUACCAAUCUAUAUCUGACGUUGAGGCACGAAAGCGUGGGGAGCAAACAGGAUUAGAUACCCGUGUAGUC
rnacentral:rRNA from 1 species